GUGAGGGAAUGGGUGACUAGUGGCAGAGUGAGGGAGGGAAGGGGUGACUAGUGACAGAGUGAGGGGAUGACUGGUGACAGAGUGAGGGGGGGUGACUGUCACUAGUCACCCCAUCCCUCUCUCUGUCACUAGUUACUCCCUCCCUAACUCUGUCACUGUGUCACCCGCUCCCUCACUCUGUCACUAGUCACCCCCUCUCUCACUACUGUCACUAGUCACCCCCUCCCUCAC